GCGCCCAUGGCUCAGCUGGAUAGAGCGCCAGACUACGAAUCUGGAUGCCCCUGGUUCGAAUCCAGGUGGGCGCGCCA
rnacentral:tRNA from 3 species